rnacentral:lncRNA from 1 species
AAUCCAUUUAACCCUUAGUGGACACAGAACAUGUUUCAGAGAGCACGGAGUUGGGGGCUGGAGUGCAGUGGCACCAUCUCGGCUUACCGCAACCUCCGCCUCCUGGGUUCAAACAAUACUCCUACCUUGGCCUCCUGAGUAGCUGGGAUUACAGGAAUCAAGGUUGCUAAGAGACCACCUGUGCUGAAUACACUUUGUUCUGGCAAGAGCAGAAAACUGAGAAGCCGUGUUACCUACCACUACCUGGGAUUAAUUCAGGGAGCGGGAUAAUUCUGGAUAUG